rnacentral:rRNA from 1 species
AAUGAACGCUGGCGGCAUGCCUAACACAUGCAAGUCGAACGAGACCAUCGGGUCUAGUGGCGUACGGGUGCGUAACGCGUGGGAAGCUGCCCUUAGGUUCGGAAUAACUCCCCGAAAGGGGUGCUAUUACCGGAUAAUGUCUUCGGACCAAAGAUUUAUCGACUUUGGAUGGGCCCGCGUGGCAUUAGCUAGUUGGUAGGGUAAAAGCCUACCAAGGCGACGAUCCAUAGCUGGUCUGAGAGAAAGAUUAGCCACACCGAGACUGAGAAACGGCCCAGACUCCUGCGGAAGGGGGGAGAGGCGAAUGUAGGAAAGUGGGCGGAAGCAUGAUCCAGCAAUGCCGCGUGAGUGAUGAAAGCCGUGAGGUAGUAAAGCUCUUUUACCCGGGAUGAUAAUGACGGUACCGGGAGAAUAAGCACCGGCUAACUCCGUG